UACGUAGGGUGCAAGCGUUACUCGGAAUUACUGGGCGUAAAGCGUGCGCAGGCGGUUAUGUAAGACAGGUGUGAAAUCCCCGGGCUUAACCUGGGAACUGCAUUUGUGACUGCAUAGCUAGAGUACGGUAGAGGGGGAUGGAAUUCCGCGUGUAGCAGUGAAAUGCGUAGAUAUGCGGAGGAACACCGAUGGCGAAGGCAGUCCCCUGGGCCUGCACUGACACUCAUGCACGAAAGCGUGGGGAGCAAACAGG
rnacentral:rRNA from 1 species